GGCGGAUGUGGCUCCAUAUAUACAACUCGGUCACCAUGGGGAUGGGCUGGGGCCUUUUCCUGUUGGUCCAGACCCCCAAUCUGCCCAGAGAAGCCAUGACAGGAGACUGGUGAUUGGUGCAAACGACGUGGGAUGAGGUAAUCUCUCCCCCACCCCUUUUUCUCUAGCAUCCGUAGACUGUUUGCAUCCUUUAGACAAAGAGACCGUGCAGAAGCAUUCUGCUGAGCAUCCAUUAUGGGGUGGGGUCGGGGAGGGGCGGAAGAAGAAAGGGGACUGGGGUUGGAAGAUUUUAUGUUGCUUAAACCUCAAAAUGCAGUUAAAAUUAUCUAUGUGAGGUUUUUUACCCCUACCCUUAAUAACAGAUUUAUGUUCAGAUUAAAUAUUUAAAAGAAAAUUACUGCCAGCCCCUCCCUCGCAGUAUAUUAAACUCGACCACAUUUUGUUAGGGUUCAACAUCUCUAAUUGCUUUAAAAAUAAAGUGGGAGAGAAAAUGGGCGUGAUGCUCAAAAUGGUCUGGGUAAUUGUGAUUUUUUUUUUAAUUUUAAAAAAAGAUUUAGUCAUACAGUCAUUCAAAAUGGUUUCUCAGGUUCAACUAACUUAUUUUCAGAGCUUCUUUUGCAGGCACAUGCACACCCGAAUAGCUAAAUAAAACUGGAAGAUGGAAAUAAUAACCAUACUAAAUAAAGAAGCGAACAAAUAGUUCUAACAUGGCAAUAAUCAACAGCAAGUGCACGUAGAGUAGUUAUAAUAGUUUACUAGAGGUAUUCCUUUAUGAGAAGUCUGUGUAACACAUUUUGUGUGGUACAUUGUCCUUUGGAAUGAAUCAUCUUUCCUGAUAUAAAAUUGGGAAAAUACAAGGAGAAAUAAUUGAGCUCAGAAGUUAGCACUACAUGUGUGCAGUUACAUAUCUGCACUGGACUUUUGUCUGGAAAGUAACAAGCAAGAUAAUAGUAAUAACCAAGACACCAAAUUAAAAAGAAGAGGAGAAUCAUAUAAUGUAAAAAGAAGACUAUUUUGCAAUGUUGCCUCCAUCUAUAGACAACUGUGAAACAUCAGCUCAAUAACUGCAUUUCCUUUUUAUGUAGUUCUUAUGUCAAUUUGGUAAAUAUCCUCCUGCGAGUGGGCUUCUAAUUGUGGGAAUUUUAGCCAGCUUCACACCCUUGCUAUUCAACUAGAGACUCUGGUGGUUGCUCAGUUGCCCCUUGGGACAAAAAGGCUUUGCUUUCACCCCUAGGAAAUAAAUUGGAGUAACAUUGUCUUGCUAUUUAGAAAGGCUCCAUUCUCAGCAACGAUGGGCUAUGCAGAGUAAGUCACUGGAUUUCGUACCACUGGAUGUUGGUGAUGAAAUUUCAGAGGGUUUAGUAUGGAUCAAUAUACUGAAUGAAUUGGCUGUUACUACGUGUGGCUAUCCAGACAAAGAUUAUCCACUGAAUUUACCUUGGCCAAAUUCCAACGCUAACAAGACUCCACUGCCAGUGUUGUGGACACCGUGAUGCACUGCCCCGAUCCCCCUUUACUAAGGGACUUGUUGUCCCUGCUACUGGAGAGUUGUUGGCAGAUGCCCGCAGCUGUCGGUCCCUGCAGAGACUUCCUCAGCUUCAGGGAGCUGUAAUCAAGCUAAAAUGAGGUCAUUAGAGUGGGCCUCGAUCCACUAUGACUGGUGUCCUCAUAAAGCGGAAAGUUGAACAGAGAUACAGACCUGCACAGAAGGCAGACAGACACAGGCGGAAGGUGGCCACGGAAAAGCCAGAGAGAGAGGCCUGGAACAGAUCCUUCCCUCAAGGCACUCGGAACAAACCAGUCCUGCUAACACCUUGCUUUUGGACUUGUAGGCUCCAGGACUGAGACAAUAAAUUUCUGUUGUUUAAG